rnacentral:rRNA from 1 species
UACGUAGGUGGCAAGCGUUGUUCGGAAUUAUUGGGCGUAAAGGGCGCGUAGGCGGCCUGAUAAGUAGGGGGUGAAAUCCUGCGGCUUAACCGCAGGGCUGCCUUCUAAACUGUCAGGCUUGAGCACAGUAGAGGCAGGUGGAAUUCCCGGUGUAGCGGUGGAAUGCGUAGAGAUCGGGAAGAACAUCAGUGGCGAAGGCGGCCUGCUGGGCUGUUGCUGACGCUGAGGCGCGACAGCGUGGGGAGCAAACAGG